rnacentral:rRNA from 1 species
GACGAAGGUGGCAAGCGUUGUUCGGAAUCACUGGGCAUAAAGCGCACGUAGGCGGCUAAGUAAGUCGGAUGUGAAAUACCUCGGCUCAACCGAGGAACUGCGUCCGAUACUGCUUGGCUUGAGGUCCGGAGGGGAGAGUGGAAUUCCCGGUGGAGCGGUGAAAUGCGUAGAGAUCGGGAAGAACGCCGGCGGCGAAAGCGACUCUCUGGUCGGAAUCUGACGCUGAGGUGCGAAAGCUAGGGGAGCAAACGGG